UUAACAAUUACAAAUUAAAAUUAAAAAAUAACGGAAAAAAAUAUAACGUAAACAACUCAGAAGCCAAAUGAAUCAAUCCUAUUUUAUAUAAAUUUCUUAAUUAAAUUUUAGUACUAGAGCACUUAAUUAGUUCAUAACUCCAUUAAUUAUUUUUCUACCUUUCCUUUCGCAGAGCUAGAAUUUUACAAUUCGAUUUCAGAGAAGCUCGUAUGUAUACCGUGCAUCUUCUCGUGGAACGCGAUUUUUUUCGCUCAAACGGUUUCGGGACACCGCGUAUAAGACGGCCGUGCGCCAGCGUACGCGCGUGCUCGUGCGUGCGCGCACUGGAGAUCGUAAACAGGUUGUCUAUCCGUCUCACUCGGAUACACGGGUAGCGUACGCCCGCCGUACGGCAGACCGUCGCGACGAAUAGCGAUCGCGCGCCCCGGGAAAACCCCACGAUCUCACAACGGCCUCCAUUUCCACGUGGACGUCCCACUCGCGCGCGCGCGCGUAUUUCCCACGAGAGGUUACUCCGGGCGUUCGAUCGCAGGGGGAACUGUUGCACGCGUUUAUUAUUAUAGCGCAGUUGUUGCACGCAUACGCGAGCUGUCGUCGCGUUUGAAAUGUCAUUCCUAACAAUCGUCAAGUCUAUUUUCGAAGAAAAUCUACACGUGUCAAGAGACACACCUUCGUAGCGAUUGCUCUACAUCAAUGGAUUUCAAUGAAAGAUAUCCAACUGCGGUAUCUUUUACAGUGACAUCCUACAGCUUUCUUGUUAGAGGAAUCUAACGGGCGAGAAAAGCGGUUUGGAAAGAAAUUAAUUGAAGAUUGACUGUCACGUAAUUUUAGUUAGCGGAAUUGCGGAUAUACACCAGUGACACCAAGGCUAACGCAAACGUACGUAAUCUAAGUUGUUGUCGAAGUUACUUUGUCAUCGGAAGAGCCAUGUCCGGACGGGUUACCGCAGCCAUGCGUAGAGAUGGAAAUCGAGAGCUCUCGCAGCAUCCUCGCCUCUUAGUGCUUCUGUGUAUUCUGUGCACACCACCGCUCACAUAAUUUUAUAUCACCGAUAGUUUACGCGAUGUCGGAGCAACGUCAACGCGACUACAUGUUCCUUGAGAUAAUCAAUUUAGCGCGAAGAUGAUAAUGCUUUCGGCUCACACGACUCCGUGAAAAUCAGAUUAGAGCAGUGAGGAGUAUCAUUUCUUUUUUUUAAACGAAGAAGCACAGAAAUAUUCAUUGUACGAUGUUGAUGCAUACUUGCAAAUCAAAAUUUCUUCCGAUUUAUAAUUCAAAUUCAAUAUUGUAUCAUUAUGGUGACUUCACACUUAUUUUUUCAGUUUCGCAAAAGAAAAAGAAAAAGAGUUAAUACAAUCUUCUAUGAAUCUGGGACAAUCUGUGGACAAACUCGUUGAGCAAGAACGGUGACGCUGAUUUCUUCGAGAUACGCUAUUAUCGUCCGUCUUGUAAAAGUUCGCAUUGACGAUGAUAACGGAUCGAAAAAGGGAUAAGCUAGGGUGGGACACGAAGAACUCGGCAAAAAGUAAUUAGCUGAAAUUGGAAGUGGCAAUUAGCGAGCGAGAUAGGGAGCGAAGAUUUCGAUUAAAGAGACUAUCUUCGGCGGUACUUGCAUUCAGGAACGAACUUCUCUCACACUAAUGGCGAAUAACGAAAGUGAUCGCAUAUAUUAACGAGAGUACGGAAAACUGAAUGAAAAACAAAGUAUAGCGAGGAUAAAGCGUACGCUUUUAAAGUUUUAAUAUUUUGUCACUCAUUAACAUAACAUUAACAACCGUAUUAAAUAGCGAUUUACGAGAUGGCUUAUUGUAGCGUAAGCCGAUCAAAACUUCUAUAGAAAAUAAGAUGUUACAUACAUAAAUACAUAAAUGUAUAAAUAGAUAGUGUACAUAUGUAUGUGGCUUUUAAAUAUACAUGUAUACGUCAAAUGAUUCAAAUUAUCCGGAAAAGCUCGAGACUAGCUUGUAUACGUCGACAUUUCAAAGUAAGAAACUAGCAGCAAAGCCAGCUAAUUCGUAUGUCAUCCACAUCAAAAGAUUUCGCACGUGUAUGCUUAAUUGCAUAUUUUCGAAGGAAAUGGAUCGAAUCAAAACACUCGAUCAUACGUAAAAUAGAAAUUAGUGUAAAAAUAACGACGAGAUAUGAGCAACGGCGUUUCUUUCAUUUUUGACAUCAUACUGCAUAAAGUUAUUUUAAUAGAAGAAAUUAGCGAAGGGAUUAGCUGUUAAGCCGCGAAUAACAAUGUCGCCAGAAUUAUUGGUUAUACGACAGAGCUCCGCUCAGUUAGCUCCACUCAUUUUACGCGCGAAUCACCGUGAGAAUCGUCAAACGAGAGUUUGUGAAGAGGCUCUUUGGCGGAUGAAAAGAAUCGCUGAAAGGCGUGUCGAGAUUGCGACGACUGUGUCCGAAACUGAGUUUGCAGCGAAUUGCAAUUGCUGGAGAGAGAAAAAGACUUUCUUGGAAGCAUCGUGUGUUGAUAAAGGGCAGAAGAGAAUGUCAAAGACACUCCCUUGAAUUAACGGCUGGUCUUCAAGCGGAAAUUCGUUUGGGGCUUGCCACCUCGAGGCGCUCUUUUCGAGGAUAGAGCUAAAGAUUUUGCAGUCCGCUGAUGAUCAAGAUUUAAGGAUCGCUAUGUAAGCCAUGAUUCGUCAUUCAAAAGAAUUACGGACCGUAAAAUACAAGAUAAAGUAAAUGUAUGCGCAAUGAGAAGGGAUAACGGUCCGUUUAAUUUUAUCGAAGGCACAUAACUACGCAUCAAAUAUUUUAGACAUUAAAUAUUCUCAAUUUCUCAAUAUUUCUAUUAAUUACGAAGUGUAUAGUCUCAAUUAGCACAAUAAUGCGCGACAAUAAAGAGCAGCGAGAAUGCAUUUGUAUAACGGAAUGCGGGUUGCGUGACGAUCUACUACCGUGGCUAUCGAUCAAACGACCGCUGUACCAAGUACCGAGACGUAAUAAUAUUAUUGUUAUCGGCCGCAUUGCGGUAUUUUCACGUUUCUGUCACUCGGCAAUCAAUUCGUAUCUACGGAAACGAUCGUAUGAUGCCGGAAAUAUCCGUGCACUUUUUGAUCGUUCUCCGUUAACUUGAUAACGUUUCGUAGUUCUGAUCGCAAAGCGUCGUCCGCGAUCGACCGAUUGCGAGGUGGAAAGACAUCGAGGAAGCAGAUGCGGAAAAAUGCCGUUCGCGAAUUUCCCAAUGAUUUCCGCUAGGGCGAGUAGCUAUUUGAUUGCAUCGAUUCGUUAAGCUCGUCGGCACAUGUAAAAUUCGAGGGACGCUGCUUCGAUUAACUUGCAUCGAGCUAUCAGUACUCUUUUACAGACAGAUCGGAAAUAUCGGUGAUACCGAGGUAAAAGGAUAGAGCGUUCGGUGAUUUCUGGUUUAUUGAUGCUUAACUCAAUUAUGAAAUCUUUGAUACUGCAUGCGUAGGAAAAAGUCAAAUACAAGUUUACCCAUUGAAAAUUAUUUAUUCUUAAAAUCUAUUUUCAACUUAAAAGAUUACAAGUGGCCUUGUUCAUAUUAUGAUAAACUUUUUUUAUUAAAAUUUUACUAAAAAAUAAACAUUUCUAGCUUAGUUCUCUUUUUGAUAAUAUGCGUAACAAAACGUUUAAAAUCUUUGAGUU
rnacentral:lncRNA from 13 species